rnacentral:rRNA from 1 species
GACGAACCGAGCGAACGUUGUUCGGAAUAACUGGGCUUAAAGGGCGCGUAGGCGGGCCGCGUGGUCCGAGGUGAAAUCCUCCGGCUCAACCGGAGAACUGCCUCGGAUACCGGCGGCCUGGAGGGGGGGGGUAGGGGCACGCGGAACUGUGGGUGGAGCGGUGAAAUGCGUUGAUAUCCACAGGAACUCCGGUGGCGAAGGCGGACGU